AGUUAGAGGAUACAAAAACAAUAAACAAAAACUAAAAAGUACCAAAACAAAAACAGGUGGGGUUUACAUCAAUCAAAGGGAGAUACUACCACAUUAAGGGAUAAAACAGAGGAUAUAUAAUAGAAAUUAGGGAAAGAAAUAAUAAAUAAAUAGAAUCCC